rnacentral:snRNA from 1 species
GUGCUCACUUCAGCAGCACAUAAACUAAAAUUGGAAUGAUACAAAGAUUAGCAUGGCCUCUGCAUGAGAAUGACACGCAAAUUCGUGAAGUGUUCUAUAUUUUU